rnacentral:rRNA from 1 species
UACGUAGGGGGCUAGCGUUGUCCGGAAUCAUUGGGCGUAAAGCGCGUGUAGGCGGUCCGGUAAGUCCGCUGUGAAAGUCGGGGGCUCAACCCUCGAAUGCCGGUGGAUACUGUCGGGCUAGAGUGCGGAAGAGGCGAGUGGAAUUCCUGGUGUAGCGGUGAAAUGCGUAGAUAUCGGGAGGAACACCAGUGGCGAAGGCGACUUCCUGGCCUGUUCUUGACGCUGAGGCGCGAAAGCUAGGGGAGCAAACGGG